GACUUAAGAAGGAACUCAACGCAGAGGAAAGCAAAAUGGAGACAUGGAGGGAGACGCCAAGUUCCAGUGACAUUAAGCCCCUGAAUCCCACCAUGGCUGAACUUGCAUUACUGAAGCCCUCCUGAGUUGAAUUUCUGCCUCUUGCAAAUGAAAGAGGCCUGAUGAAUACCCACAUAGUUCAAUUUCAAUAUACGAAGGUAGGCACUGAGAUUUCAAUAUCAGAAGAAGGGCACUUGGUCAAAUCUGGGGACUCAGAGACUUCCUGGAGGGGGUGACGUUGGGGCCAGGAAGGGCAGUCCAGGCACAGGGAACUGCAUGAGUAAAGGCAAAGAGGUUUGAAAAUGAUGGUUGCAGCCGGGCGAGGUGGCUCACGCCUGUAAUCGCAGCACUUUGGGAGGCCAAGGCGGGCGGAUCACUUGAGGUCGGGAGUUCGAGACCAGCCUGGCCAACAUGGCGAAAUCUCGUCUCUACUGAAGAUACAAAAAUUAACCGGGCAUGGUAGCAGGUGCCUGUAAUCACAGCUACUUGGGAGGCAGGAGAAUCGCUUGAACCCAGGAGCAACAGAGUGAUUGGCUAGCCAAUACAUUGAUUGGCUAGGCCUGCUAGGGGGGCGGAGUCAGCCCACCCGAACCUUGGGGAUUUAGAGUGGGAGAGGGGUGUCCCUAAAGGAAAUAAAACCGGGAGGAAGUGAGGGGCAGGACAGGCGAAAACAACCUGUUUUUUUUUUUUUUUUUGUAGCCCCUACCAAAAAAAAAAAAAAAAAGACACUGAUGGAUGCUCAUGACUAUGCCUUCCGUGGGUGGCUUCAGUCUCUCCUACCGCAGGCAAAUGCAGGAGACACAUGGGAAUCAAUAGGCUGGGAAUUAGAGGGGAAAGGUGCUUUUUCUCUGCUAGUCCAUUUUGAAAAAUCUCAUCUCAAUUUUUUGAUUUGCCCAGUUGGAUUACGUGCUCAUUUCUGUGACCAAGGUAGCAGGGGCCUGUUAUUAGAAGAAGGUGAAGAGUGAGAGCAGGAGGCAUCCAACAGUCGAGUUAGGGGUUGAUACGCACAGUAUAUGGCCUGUGCUGGGGAAAGUCCCUAGCCUAACAGUACUGGAGUACCUCGUAUAGGAGUCCUGAGACCUGGUUUUAAGAUCUCGCGU
rnacentral:lncRNA from 10 species